rnacentral:misc_RNA from 1 species
ACGGCGUGAGGUCGCAUUAGCUCGCGCACAACUGAUUGCAUCUCACUUGCGCCAUGCUAGUGAGUGUGGGGCCGAAACCUGAGGUGGCUGGCACAGCCCAAGUACCCCUUGGGCCCACGAGGACGAAUGUGCACGGCGCAUUUCCCAUCAUCGCCGCUUCGUCCAGGUCGGCGCAUGCGAUGUCUCCUGGCACGUGGUCCUCCUCUUUAAAACCCAAGGUCGAGUGCAACGUCACAAAGCCGGACACCUCCAGCUGGAAACUCUCGGAUUUCGAACUGAAGAACACGCUCGGCACCGGCUCCUUCGGCCGCGUGCGCAUCGCCCACCGCAAGGGCACGGAGGAGUACUACGCGAUCAAGUGCCUGAGAAAGCGCGAGAUCAUCAAGAUGAAGCAGCAGCAGCACGUUGCGCAGGAAAAGGGGAUCCUAAUGGAGCUGUGCCACCCGUUCAUCGUGAACAUGAUGUGCUCCUUCCAGGACGAGAAGAAGGUGUACUUUGUGCUGGAGUUCGUCAUGGGCGGCGAGAUGUUCACACACCUGCGCACUGCCGGGCGGUUCCCGAAUGACGUUGCGAAGUUCUACCACGCGGAGCUGGUGCUUGCGUUCGAGUAUCUGCACUCGCUGGACGUGAUCUACCGCGAUCUGAAGCCGGAGAAUCUUCUGCUGGACAACAAGGGGCACGUGAAGGUGACGGACUUUGGGUUUGCGAAGAAGGUGCCAGACCGGACGUUCACGCUGUGCGGGACACCGGAAUAUCUUGCGCCGGAGGUGAUCCAGAGCAAGGGCCACGGGAAGGCGGUGGACUGGUGGACGAUGGGCGUGCUGCUGUACGAAUUCAUUGCCGGAUACCCGCCGUUCUACGACGACACGCCGUUCCGAAUUUACGAGAAGAUCCUUGCUGGGCGGCUGAAGUUCCCGAACUGGUUCGACGGCCGUGCGCGCGACCUCGUGAAGGGGCUGCUGCAGACAGACCAUACGAAGCGCCUGGGGACGCUGAAAGGCGGGCCGGCGGACGUGAAGAGCCACCCGUACUUCCACGGUGCGAACUGGGACAAGCUGUACGCACGCUACUACCCCGCGCCGAUCCCUGUGCGGGUGAAGAGCCCUGGCGACACGAGCAACUUCGAGAAGUACCCGGACAGCCCGGUCGACCGCACGCCUGCGCUGACGUCGGCGCAGCAGGCCGAAUUCAAGGAGUUUUAAAUACAGCUGCUGCCUCGCGGUAUUAUUUUCACGUGUGCAUCUCGUUCUAUGGGCAUAUGUUUGUGCUCAGUCUCGAGGUCUGGUGUGUGGUUUGAGCUGCUGCAGCCUGUAUCCAUCUGAAGGCGCUUCUGUUAUUUUUGCCUUUUCUGCACUGCUAGCUUCCCGAGCUUCUGUUAUGGGGAAAGAUCUGUAUUUUGCGCGCCUACGGUAACCUGUUCGGAACCCCUCUUAUUUCAUAAUUUGCACUCGACUCAUCGAAUUUCUAACGUCGACUUUACAUGUUUGUCUAUCUUCCUCUUCUCUGCCCUGAAUGUAGUUGUACACACGUGUGCACGUGUAUGCGUGUGUGCGCGUGUGGCCGGUCUUCUCUUCGUCUCCGUUUUUAUCGUCUCUUUAUGUUCAUUUUUUUUUUGUUUCCGAAAAGGGGUUGUGUGUGUGUGUGAGGGGGGGGGCACACGGCUGCGCGUGCUGCUUUUUUUUUUUCGCUUCGCUUUGUUUCUGAUGUGCCUUCAAAAAGAGAAGGAAGAACGGGGGGGAGACACGACCGUGGAAUGAGCACCAUGCUCUCUGUAGCUGAUGUUGUCAUGAACCGUUGGCGUGCCUUUUCCUUUCUUUGUUCUGUUUGUAUUAUUCUCAUCUCACAUCCCCAGUCCUUUGCAUGCAGCCGUGAGUACAGCACAAACGAAACGCGUUGCGGCGUCUUUCUGUUCCCACUUCGUCGACUUCGCGGCGCCGUGAUACGAGGGCAGGAUGGCGGUUUGCUCUCCCUCUUCUUGCUUGCUUGUUCGAUGUGCAGCGUGCGUUUUCUUCGUUAUUUAUUUAUUCUUGCACGAUGAAAUAAACGGACGCCUGUUUGUAUUCUUUGUUCUUGUCUCGGCCUCUGUGCUCCGUGUGUACGGGAUUUGUGAUGGAACCACACAUGUGUAGGGGCACUGCGGAGUGAGGGAGAGAGAGAAGGGGGAGGGGUGCCCGCCCCCCGCCCCCUCCUCCGACUUUCGUAGUCGCGUGUAACCGACAACGACGACUACUACACGGCUCUCUUUUUUUUUCGCGCCAUACGUCUCUUCGCCCUCGCUUGCCUUUGCGAUUUUCUGUCGUUAGCGAUUUUGCGCAAUACGUAUGCUUAAGCAUAUGCAUGUAUAUGUAUAUAUAUGUUUGGGUGCAUGUACGGUUAAUGAAGCCCAUUCGCGUGAUGGCUUUCAUUUUGGCCUCGCGGUGUGCACCUCCAGGUUGCGCCAUGUGUAUUGGAGGGCGUGUUCAUUGUCUUUUGCCCUCAAUCUUCGUGUGCGCCGCCUUCCUUUCCCUCGUCUGCUCGGUGAUAUACCAAGAGUGGCUUAGCGUUUUUUUCCCCCGUGUACCAGUUUUCUCUAGAAGUCCGAUGUAUGCGAACUUUCGAGUGUACUUCUCUCUUCCUCUGCACGCUGAGCGUUGUGUGCUUGCAUGGAACCGCACUGUUAGGGGCAUGUCUGUGCGUGUGUCUUCCAGUCGUUGAAGACUGUAGUCGCCUUGUGUUUCUCCUUUGCUUCGUCUUUCGCGUCUCUCUCCAUGUCUUCGUCUCGCGCUUCUUGUCAUGUGGGAAAGGGGCACCAUCACCUUCCCCCCCCCCCCCCCCCGUGGAAAGGGUGAGGCUCUGCGUAUCACAUGCACACAUGAGCAGAACGCUACAUAUAGAUGCGCUGCAAAUAUGUUCUUGUUGGUGUCUCGAUUUUUGAAUGGCUUGACCAGUGUGGAGAGAGGGGAAGUGCAACCUCGACACACACACACACACACACACACACACACACACACACACACACGCAGAGAACAACAAAGCGAUGCAGACGUAAUAAAAGAAAAACAGACAAACAAGGAGAGAGCCAUGCAACUCAGUGUCGUGCGCCAUAAAUUUCACUGUCGUAGGUAACCUCAGCGGCACUGCUCGCUGAUGUGGACUCGUGCACGGUAGUAGUAGUCGCUGCACACUGUCUCCUCUCUUGUUUUCCUUACGGUUUUCACUCUCCUUUUGUUUAGCUUCUUCCUCUUGUCUUUUUCUCGCCUUUGCAAUCAG